rnacentral:rRNA from 1 species
UGUGGUGCUUUUUUCUAAUUGUAAAUCACCUAAUCCCAUUUCGAACUUAGAAGUGAAAUAUUAGAAGGAAUAUUAUUACUGCAAGGGUUACUUUGUGGAAAAGUUAUUCUAGUGCCAUGA